AAUCGACUUUUCCUUGAUAAAAGAUUAUUCAGCACCAAAGAAACAACAACCAACAAAAAGCCAGAUAUCAACCCACAUGUAUGUCACCAAGCACUAAAUAAUCAACAGGGAAUUUGAUUUACUAACUCCUUUUAUUAUAAGACUGUGUUUUACAAAC